UACGUAGGGGGCAAGCGUUGUCCGGAAUUAUUGGGCGUAAAGAGCUCGUAGGCGGUCUGUUGCGUCCGCUGUGAAAACUCGGGGCUUAACCCCGAGCCUGCAGUGGAUACGGGCAGACUAGAGGUAGGUAGGGGAGAAUGGAAUUCCGGGUGUAGCGGUGGAAUGCGUAGAGAUCCGGAAGAACACCAGUGGCGAAGGCGGGUCCCUGGACAGUUCCUGACACUGAGACACGAAGGCCAGGGAGCAAACGGG
rnacentral:rRNA from 1 species